rnacentral:tRNA from 1 species
AAGUUUAUGUUAGACCUUUAAACUCAGGACCUUCAAAGUCCUAAACCAGGGAUUUUUCACCCCUAACUUCUG